rnacentral:rRNA from 1 species
GGCCUUUAGAAUUUAAUUUAAGGUCUGACCUGCCCAGUGAUGAAUUUAACGGCCGCGGUAUAUUGACCGUGCAAAGGUAGCAUAAUCAUUAGUCUUUUAAUAGAGGGCUGGAAUGAAUGGUUUAACGAGGAAUUGACUGUCUCAUUUUAUUUGUUUUAAAACUUAAUUUUUUAGUUAAAAAGCUAAAAUAUUAUUGGAAGACGAGAAGACCCUAUAGAUCUUUAUAUAAUUUUUUGUAUUUAUUUAUAUAUUAACAUAAUUGUAGUAAGGUUAUAUUUUGUUGGGGUGACAAAAAUAUAUAAUUAACUUUUUCAUUUAUUUACCAUUGAUAUAUGAAUUUUAGAUCCAUUUUUAGUGAUUGAUAGAUUAAGUUACCUUAGGGAUAACAGCGUAAUCCUCCUCCAGAGCUCAUAUUUACAGGAGGGCUUGCGACCUCGAUGUUGGAUUAAGAUAAUAAUUAGGUGUAGCCGCUUAAUUUAUAGGUCUGUUCGACCUUUAAAUUCUU